rnacentral:rRNA from 1 species
AUUGAACGCUGGCGGCAGGCCUAACACAUGCAAGUCGAACGAGUGGCGGAAGGGUGAGUACUGUCUGGGAAACUGCCUGAUGGAGGGGGAUCACUACUGGAAACGGUAGCUAAUACCGCAUACCAUCAGAUGUGCCCAGAUGGGAUUAGCUUGUUGGUGGGGGAACGGCUCACCAAGGCGACGAUCCCUAGCUGGUAGGAGAGGAGGACCAGCCACACUGGAACUGAGACACGGUCCAGACUCCGACGGGAGGCAGCAGUGGGGAAUAUUGCACAAUGGGCGCAAGCCUGAUGCAGCCAUGCCGCGUGUAGGAAGAAGGCCUUCGGGUUGUAAAGUACGUUCAGCGGGGAGGCGUUACCCGCAGAAGAAGCACCGGCUAACUCCGUGCCAGCAGCCGCGGUAAUUC